GGAGGGGUGGCCGAGCGGUUUAAGGCACCGGUCUUGAAAACCGGCAAGGCGGCAACGUCUUCGUGGGUUCGAAUCCCACCCCCUCCGCCA
rnacentral:tRNA from 1 species